rnacentral:lncRNA from 1 species
CAUGGAGGAGGAUGCCGAAACCUCCUUCUACCUCUGGAGUUUUUCAAGCCUUUAAUGUGGCAUGUAGGAAUAGCUCGUCUGGUGCAAGGAUGUUUGUUUAGGAGGGCAGGGGAACUAGAAUCAGAUGCUUGGUCGGAUGCUCCCAGCCUUAGGGCCUUUAUGUAGGAAGUGGGAUGAUGUUGCUUCCGGUGAUCCUGGGGCUAAAGUGAGCUCCUAAGUUUCAUGACAAAGGAGGACAGGGGAUUCUGAAAAAGCACGUGGGGGACCUUGGCGGAUUCCAUGGCAGGCGAGGUUGACCGAGGCAGGGAACAAACAUGCCAGACAGACAGCUUAAGUGAGAAGUUUUAUUAGAAAGGGGAGGGAGAGGGAAGGAAAGAGAAAAGAGGUAAAGAGACAGCGACACAGAGAGAGGACAGAAGAGAAGAGGGAGACAGGAAAAGUCCCGUCUGCUGCAGGGGAACAGCAGGAAAGAGAGCAUAAGUGGGCUGGACGGGAGGUCUUUCUUUUAAAGGAAUCCUUUGCACCUGCGUGCAGAUGCCUGCGUCCUUACACUGAUCAUCUCUACUUCUCUUCAGGGAACAUCAAAUCCCCUGGAGCAUAGUCACAAGCCACUUGUGAACCACUCAGUGCAGGUGCAGAGAUGUGAACUUGGGUCCUUUAAAGAGCUGCAAGCCCUCUUAAGGACUAAGCCAUGUCUCCAGCCCCCUACUUGGCUUCUCAGUGUAAGUUUAGACAGAAGAGGAUCGAAGGGGAUGUAGGAACACAGUGCAUCUCUUACCUCUGUCCACAAAUGCAGACACCAUGUCUUGCAUGUUCUGACAGGAGUAGUCUAAGGACAUAGAAUGCACCCAUACCUGCCCACACAAGGACCAUCUGCCCAGGGGUGGCACCACCCACCAUGAACUGAGCCUUCCCACAUCACACCCCUGCCACUACAGCUACAACUGCCUCACCACCGUGCCUUCUCUUCUGCAGUGGACUGUACCUCAAACAGUGAGCCCAAACCAACCUUCCUUCUUGACGUUGCUUCUGAAGUUAUUUUGUCACAGCGGCUAUAAGAGUCAGCCACACACCAUGUUUUGUGAGAACUCUCAACUCUCAGCUCCCAGGCCAUCUGGUCUUCUUUGGUGGAAUAAGAAGGAAUGUUAGAAGUUGAGGCCUGGGGUGAACAGUUUUAUGUCAACUUGGCAUAAGCUAGAGUCAUUUGAGGAGAGAGAACCUCAACUGAGAAAGUGCCCCCACUAGAUUGGCCUCUGGGCAAGCCUGUGAGCUAUUAUUUUCAUUAUUGAUCAACGAAGGUAGGCUCAGCCCACUGUGGGUAGUGAACCCCUGGGCUGGUAGUCCUGGG